GCUGAAGACAUCAGGAUCCAUCAGCCUGCACCUCAGACACCCCAGGGUCAGGAAUGGACAGGUUGGUUUGAUGGUAUGAAAACACAGAUAAAGGACACGGGUGAGUAUAAGGGACAAGGGUCUUCUUAACAAGGUAUGGUUCAGCCUUAGAAGUCAAGAGGGCUGUACUCAAACCCAGUACCAUCAGGAGACAUGCUUGGGCUCUGGGGUGUUGUUCUGUUAUGGGUUGAAUUGUGCUCCUGAAGGUGCCUGUGUUGAUAUUCAACUCCCUGGUACCUCAGAAUGGGAGUGUACUUGGAGACUGCGACUUUAGAGUGGAGAUUAAGCUAGAACUGGGGCUUGGGAGAGCCUCCAUCUAAUCUUCACAGUGUCCUUAUGAGACCAGGAGAAGUGGACAGUGGAUACUUGGAAUCACAACAGCUCUCCAUGUGUAGCGGAGCCAAGAGGAUUGCGGUCUAUAAGGAAGAGUUUACAGAGAGGGCAGCACUUAGGCCCGGAGAAGAGUCUCUACAAAGGUGUGAGCUGAAUUCAUGGAAACCUACAGGCAAGGGCGAGGGAUUCUCCAGGUUUGCCAAUGCCUGAGGCCAGGCUCACUGGAGCUGCCAGGAUCCGGACCUCCGAAGGAACCCUGCUCUGCCCUCCCCCUCUCCUCCACACCAGAAGACCCCGGACCAGUCACUGCCUGAGUGCCAACUCAGAGCUGAGCCUGCCAGGAUUUUCUGAAGUUUCCUGGGUGUCUGCCUUCCCGUCUGUUGAGUGAAGAAGUGCUUCUGUGCCCAACACUGACCACAGCCAGAACGCAGAGGGAAGAGGACAGGAUUUGCUAGAAAUGGGCAAAGGCCUGUGUCUGCAGGUGAAGCACCACGGGAUGCGGCUCAGGCUGACCAGCACCUCAGGCUGACCAGCAUCCUUGCCACUCAGAGGUCCCAGGAGCCUCCAGCAAGCCUGCCACAGCCAUACAGUUUAUUAAGAUACAUCAGGUUUGACCAGCCAAGACCCCCUGAA